CUUACGGAAAAAUUUCUGUAAGCCAGAAAUAGGAUUUUCGAGUUAUGGAAAUUUUUGCGUAAUGUACGGGUAUAUGUUUCUAACUUACGCAAAUUCGAAUUAUGCAAGGCUUUCCGGAAUGGAAUGAUUGCAUAAGUCAGGGGGCUGUUUAUUUUCAUUGUGGAU